GUUACUUCUCUGCUUUUUGGCAAAGAUCAAGUGUUGCAUCUAUUAUGUUCAGUUUUAAUAUCUGAUAUGUCCUCUAUCUGAGGACAAUAUGUUAAAUUGGGGGAUUUUUGGAUUAGGGAGUUGGAAUAGGAGCUUGCUCCAUACACUCCAUGCAUCAUCCUGGUAUCACAGUACCUCCAGGAAUGGUGCACCUCCC